rnacentral:rRNA from 1 species
UUCCGGUUGAUCCUGCCGCCGGCCACUGCUAUCAGGUUCCGACUAAGCCAUGCGAGUCAAGGUAUCGUAAGAUGCCGGCAAACUGCUCAGUAACACGUGGAUAAUCUAACCUUGAGUAAGGGAUAACUUCGGGAAACUGAAGGUAAUACCUUAUAAUUGCUUAAAACUGGAAUGUUUUUGCAAUAAAAGUUACGACGCUCAAGGAUGAGUCUGCGACCUAUCAGGUAGUAGGUGGUGUAAUGGACCACCUAGCCUCAGACGGGUACGGGCCCUGGGAGGGGUAGCCCGGAGAUGGACUCUGAGACAUAAGUCCAGGCCCUACGGGGCGCAGCAGGCGCGAACACUGUGCAAUGCGCGAAAGCGCGACACGGGGAGCUUGAGUGUCUUGGCAUAGCCAAGACUUUUCUCAUUCCUAAAAAGCAUGAGGAAUAAGUGCUGGGUAAGACGGGUGCCAGCCGCCGCGGUAACACCCGCAGCACAAGUGGUGGUCACUUUUAUUGAGCCUAAAGCGUUCGUAGCCGGUUUUGUAAAUCUUUAGAUAAAGCCUGAAGCUUAACUCCAGAAAGUCUAAAGAGACUGCAAGACUUGAGAUCGGGUGAGGUUAAACGUACCUUCGGGGUAGGGGUAAAAUCCUGUAAUCCUGGAAGGACGACCAGUGGCGAAAGCGUUUAACUAGAACGAAUCUGACGGUAAGGAACGAAGGCUAGGGUAGCAAACCGGAUUAGAUACCCGGGUAGUCCUAGCUGUAAACAUUGCCCAUUUGAUGUUGCUUUUCCGUUGAGGGAAGGCAGUGUCGGAGCGAAGGUGUUAAAUGGGCCGCUUGGGAAGUAUGGUCGCAAGACUGAAACUUAAAGGAAUUGGCGGGGGAGCACCGCAACGGGAGGAAUGUGCGGUUUAAUUGGAUUCAACGCCGGAA